CAGUCGCCGCGGUAAUACGUAGGUGGCAAGCGUUGUCCGGAAUUAUUGGGCGUAAAGGGUGCGUAGGCGGUUUGAUAAGUCUUGUGUGAAAUCUAUGGGCUCAACCCAUAGUCUGCACAGGAAACUGUCGGGCUUGAGAGUGGGAGAGGUGAGUGGAAUUUCCGGUGUAGCGGUGAAAUGCGUAGAUAUCGGAAGGAACACCUGUGGCGAAAGCGGCUCACUGGACCAUUUCUGACGCUGAUGCACGAAAGCUAGGGGAGCAAACAGGAUUAGAUACCCCGGUAGUCCCUGUCUCUUAUAU
rnacentral:rRNA from 1 species